rnacentral:lncRNA from 1 species
ACGGAAAACCUGGGAUUCAGAACUGGGAUUUUAGAGCUAAAGUACUGUUUCCAGGCUCAGGGGCCUGGGGACUGUGGUGCCACUGGGGGGCGGGGGAAGGGUGAGGAUCCCUGGAGGAGCAGGAAGCGGGGAGAGGGUUUGGUGUUGACAGGGGUUUUGCCGGGAGCACCCAGGAUCCUGGGCCCCUCUCUGCCAGGUGAUGGGUGGUGGUGGCUGGGCGGGGUGUUUUAUGGGGUCACCGAGAGAAGGGACAGUGCGUGGUGCCUCCCCAGGGGUGGCCCCAGGAGGGGCCCAGUAAAUGAACAGAUAAGUGCUCCCUCGGGGCUCCCAGCCCUGUUCAUGGGCAAGCAGGAGGGUAGGCAGGGUGCAGAGAUCCUGCCCUCUGCCUGGGGGAGGAUGGACGGUGGGCACUGGGGCAGGGAGGGAAGGAGGGCUGGGCACCUGUCCAGCGGAAUGGAGAAGUCCAGGAAGGCGGCCACCAGCUCGGAGGUGUGGUUCCGGGCCAGCAGGGUGAUGGCCUGCAGGGCAUUUUCCUUGGCUUGGGGGAUGCGGAUGGAGCAGAGCUGCAGGUGGAUGGCCCGGCCCAGGCUGGCAACCUGUGCGGGGAGGAAGAGUAUGGGGAGAGGGCUGGUCUGGGCAGGGGGCCAGGCCCCGCCCUGGGCAGCCUGAACAGGGAGGCAGGAGCUGCCCCGAUGGGCGUGGAGCCCCUUCAGGUAGAGUGCUCUCCUGAGGGGGACGCACAGCCCUGCCCUGGGGGCUCUAAGAGGGAGGUCUGACGGGGGAGGCUCUUCUCUGCCCUGGACACGAGUCAGAAGGGGACCCCCGGGCUGAGAGGGGGAGAGCACCCAUCUGCACAGCAUUUGGGGUCGUCCAAGUCUGUCCAAACAUUGCCCAGUCGCUGAAGGUUCAGACACACCCAGGGGCUAGAGCGUCUGGCCCUGGUCUUGGGGCUGGGGGGACACGGGGUGUCUGCCUUAUGUUCAGACGGCGUCGUGUCCUGCCAUCA